rnacentral:lncRNA from 1 species
GUUAGACUAGGUGAAGUGAUUAGAGCAAAAAAUCAAUAAGCAUGCAAUUCCGACUGAUCACGCGAUUAGUACGUGGAACCUUUGUUUGUUUCGCGCGCGUCGCAGCCAUGCGACAGUGGCAACGGGCCAGGGGUCAAUUUGUCGGGUUAGCUUGUCCAGAUCUGUGGAAAAAAAAACAGUCAAACUUGCAAUCACGUAGUACACGAUGUGACCAGCUGGUAUAGUUCGGCUACGUAGUUUCGGCCUUUGCAAGAGUUAAUUCAACGCCAUAACUCCUCGCUUUGUUCGAAAACAGAUUCUAUGCUACAUCUUACUUGAUUCCGUCGUAAACUUUCUCCACUAAAUUAAGUUGCAUGAAUUAAUGUUCUUCAAAGCCGUUGUCUCUAGUUUCAUCAUUUGCAUCUUAUACAAACCAAAACCUGCAAAAACUGAACUAAUCUCAAAGGCUAAUCUUGAAACACCACGCUAUAUGAAACGCUAAUAUCGUUGAACGCAUUCUGAACGAAAAACGCUUUCUUGCAAGGCAGACUUUGAAUCACUGCUCCAGCUCCAUCGUCGUCAUGUUGGGGAAAAAGAUCCGGGACAAGAAACAUGCACAACAAUCAAAAAAAAAAAACUUGACACUAGGCCAUAUCCUCUCUAGUGGACACCGUCGAUACAGUCCCUCACAAUAAGCUCUUAGGUGUUGAGCCCAUGCCAUGAUGACAAAAUCAUGACAUGAUGCGUCUGUAGUGCACACGUCGUCAGAUGAGUCGGGUCGUG